rnacentral:tRNA from 1 species
GGACGGCCAGUUUAACAGGCUAAACGCUGUCUGGCGCGCAAGCAGAGAUGCGGGUUCGAGGCCCGCGCCGUCCG